GAAUAAAACCCUCAAAUUACCGAAACUACUUCUUACAGAACUGCACCAGUGUUGGAAAGUUACAGAUUAAAGUCCAUAAGAAGAGAUUUGAUCAGUCAUGUUCUUCCGCUGUCUCCUGCUGGUUCUCGUCUGCCUCCAGGACUUCACAACAGCCGUCCGGUGUGUACAUGGACCAGAGCAUUGCUGUUUCAAAUUCCACAGAAAUCCAAUCUCUGUAAGACUCAUUACAGAGUAUAAAGUAACACAUAUGGACUGUCCAAAUCCUGGAAUCAUCUUUACUCUAAAGAACGGUCGUCACGUGUGUGCAGAUCCCGGGGUUGAGUGGGUGAAACAGGCCAUAAAAUUUUUUUACCAGCGUCUGUUUGAAAAAAACAAUUAACAGGGAUGAACAUGGACAUCAAUGCUGUAGCAGUUUCUGGACACAUCCAAUCCCUGUGAGUGAGAUUGAAACGUAUGAAGAAACACACAUCAACUGUACAAAUCCUGGAGUCAUUUUUACUCUAAAGAACGAUCAUCGCGUGUGUGCAGAUCCCGGGGUUGAGUGGGUGAAACAGGCCAUGGAAAGAUUUCACCAGUGUCUGUUUGAAAGUACAAUUAUCAGGGGUUCAAUCCUUUCUUCAACUUAAUUAUUAGAUGAAUUAGUAACAGAAUAAAACUUUUUUAUUUUUAUAAAUCAUCUUUAAACAUAAAUAAUCCCAGAUGCACUUGUCCUAACAGUAAUAGGAGUUAUAGGACAGUAAGGUGAAGAAGCAGUGUUAUUGUUUACCUGAAGUUUAUUGUUAAUUAUACAUCUUAUUUUUUUAUUGUUACAAUAAAUGUUGUGGGAUGUCCAUGAAACAAGUAAUUUCCUCUUUCACUUACGUUAUAGCAGCUAUAAACAGUCGUUCCCUCACCAGCCCUGUCUUUAUUCUCUCUUGAAGAUAAUAAGCUGAAAAAUAUGAAGUCGGAUCUCUGUGACAAUUCUGAAAAUUAUUCAAGUAUUCUGAAAUAGUCUUCAGUUUUAUAGCUGAUAAGAUGAGAGUUCAAUGAGAGUUCAUAUUAAAGAACAUUAGAGUAGAUCUCUUACCAUUACUGCAUCAAAUAUUUUAUCUAGUUAUUGUAAAUUAUAACUAAAAUAACUAACACUGACAUGCAGCAGCUUUUCCCCCCAAUCUGAGGUGGUUACUGUAAAACCCUGUGUAUACGCUCACUCCAGCAUUUAAUCACAGUAAUAAACUGAUGUGACUGACUGAUAUAUUAAUAUUAAUGUUUUCACACAGGUGUACAUGGACCAGAGCAUUGCUGUUUCAAAUUCCACAGAAAUCCAAUCUCUGUAAGACUCAUUACAGAGUAUAAAGUAACACAUAUGGACUGUCCAAAUCCUGGAAUCAUUUUUACUCUAAAGAACGGUCGUCACGUGUGUGCAGAUCCCGGGGUUGAGUGGGUGAAACAGGCCAUAAAUUUUUUUACCAGCGUCUGUUUGAAAAAAACAAUUAACAGGGGUAAAAUCCUUUCUUCAACCUAAUUAUUAGAUGAAUUAGUAACAGAAUAAAGCUUUUUCUUAUAAAUCAUCUUUAAAGAUAAAUAAUUACUUGAAUGCUGUAAUCCUGAUUUUUGUGCAAGUUAAAGUUUCAGUUUAAUAUUCAUUAUUUCCAUGUUUUUUGUUGAAUUAGAAGCACAUAUUAUUAUGAAUGAAUGUUUGUUGUAUUCAGUAAGAUUUAAAUGUCACUCGAAACUAUAUGUAAAUAAUCUCUUUCCAUGAUUUAUACAAAUAAAACCUGUUAUAAAUA